GGCCUGGUGGUGGAUGGUUUCCACACCUACACUCGAUGCUGUAGAUCAUCAGUUGUGCGUAGGACAUCGCUCGUUCGAUCCGAGCUCAGGCCA